rnacentral:rRNA from 1 species
CCUACGGGGUGCAGCAGUGAGGAAUAUUGGUCAAUGGACGCAAGUCUGAACCAGCCAUGCCGCGUGCAGGAAGACGGCUCUAUGAGUUGUAAACUUCUUUUAUAUGGGAAUAAAAUGUUCCACGUGUGGGAUUUUGUAUGUACCAUAUGAAUAAGGAUCGGCUAACUCCGUGCCAGCAGCCGCGGUAAUACGGAGGAUCCGAGCGUUAUCCGGAUUUAUUGGGUUUAAAGGGAGCGUAGGUGGAUUGUUAAGUCAGUUGUGAAAGUUUGCGGCUCAACCGUAAAAUUGCAGUUGAAACUGGCAGUCUUGAGUACAGUAGAGGUAGGCGGAAUUCGUGGUGUAGCGGUGAAAUGCUUAGAUAUCACGAAGAACUCCGAUUGCGAAGGCAGCUCACUGGACUGCAACUGACACUGAGGCUCGAAAGUGUGGGUAUCAAACAGGAUUAGAUACCCUAGUAGUC